rnacentral:rRNA from 1 species
GACGAACGCUGGCGGCGUGCUUAACACAUGCAAGUCGAACGGAAAGGCCCUGCUUUUGUGGGGUGCUCGAGUGGCGAACGGGUGAGUAACACGUGAGUAACCUGCCCUUGACUUUGGGAUAACUUCAGGAAACUGGGGCUAAUACCGGAUAGGAGCUCCUGCUGCAUGGUGGGGGUUGGAAAGUUUCGGCGGUUGGGGAUGGACUCGCGGCUUAUCAGCUUGUUGGUGGGGUAGUGGCUUACCAAGGCUUUGACGGGUAGCCGGCCCGAGAGGGUGACCGGCGGCAAUGGGGGUGAGAGACGCCCGAGGCGGCUGCGGGAGGCAGCGGUGGGGAGUUGGGGAUCGCGGGCGGGAGGUGGGUAACGCAACGCCGCGUGCGGUAGGGCGGCGUGCGGGUUGUGAACCGAGUGGACCGUGGCCGAAGCGUGAGUGAAGGGGAUGUGAGAAGAAGCACCGGAUAUUGAGGGG